GAUGAACGCUGGCGGCGUGCCUAAUACAUGCAAGUCGAGCGAACAGACGAGGAGCUUGCUCCUCUGACGUUAGCGGCGGACGGGUGAGUAACACGUGGAUAACCUACCUAUAAGACUGGGAUAACUUCGGGAAACCGGAGCUAAUACCGGAUAAUAUAUUGAACCGCAUGGUUCAAUAGUGAAAGACGGUUUUGCUGUCACUUAUAGAUGGAUCCGCGCCGCAUUAGCUAGUUGGUAAGGUAACGGCUUACCAAGGCAACGAUGCGUAGCCGACCUGUGAGGGUGAUCGGCCACACUAGAGCUGAGACGCGGUCCAGACUCCUACGGGAGGCAGCAGUAGGGAAUCUUCCGCAAUGGGCGAAAGCUUGACGGAGCAACGCCGCGUGAGUGAUGAAGGUCUUCGGAUCGUAAAACUCUGUUAUUAGGGAAGAACAAAUGUGUAAGUAACUAUGCACGUCUUGACGGUACCUAAUCAGAAAGCCACGGCUAACUACGUG
rnacentral:rRNA from 1 species